GUAACCUCUCAGCAGCCAGGGGAUAACAGUCUUCGUCGCUAUACCCCACACAGUUUAUGUUCAAGUAAAGAUAACAUAUUGUGUUUUCAAAAACUGCUCAGGAUUCAUAAUGAAAUGAGUAAUAUGGCUGAUCAUUCCACAAAAAAGUAAUUGAAACUAUGAUGCGGAAGCGAUACCUUCAUCCUUAUACUCGACACUCCGUAUGUGAUGGAUUACAUAUAUUGAAGCAGUACAGAUUCAAGGUUGAUUUUAAGAAGAAUCACCAACUGACUCGCAUCACACCGGACCAUGCCGUUUUCGAAUGAAAGAGGGAGAUAUUUUCUUUUGGAUUUACUACUCUGUCACAUUAGAAUAACCAGAUAUUGAUAUGCUCUGACAUUAAUGCCCACCAGCCAGAACUUUGGAGUCAUACAUACUAGCAAGAACUAGUGAGAUAACAUCCGUUUGCAUCACUUUACUUACAAAUACUACUGGGGUGAAACAGAAUGUCAUAUAAAUGGGCAGCGAGGUCAACUCAUCUGCAUUUGAUACUACAGCAGUGCACUGAACAAAGAAUACAUCCGAUGGCGUUGAUUUGAGCAACAGCACAACAAUGCUCCCAACUGUGGAAAGAAUGGCACUUUCAGUUCCAGCUACAAAUUCUACACACAGAGGAUGUCUAGAUUCCCAGGAAAGAACGGUACAGAAGUAAUUUCGAUAUUGACAAAUUUUGACCGAAAUGAUAACGGUGCAACGGAUGACAUCUGGAAUCUUCAGCAAGCGAAUAUUAGAAUUCGAUGUCUUUUGAAUGAAAUAUUGGAUGAAAUUCCAACAGAUGCAGUGUGUAAAAUUACAUUAGACCAAACACAAAAUGCAUAUACUGUACUAAAUAAUUAUCAAUGAUCUGCUUAGUGGAAAUGUGAAUACAUAUGGAGUUAACAUUAUUUGAGUAUAUCAAUACAUCUGUGAAAUGCUUUAUUCUUCUAUUUUUAAUGUGUUGUAUAUUUAUAUAUUUUCGGAGAAUUCUUUCAAUCAAUGCAGUAAUUCUUUUUGAACUUGGAAAAGAGCAUGGAAUGUAGUUGAAGCGCAUGGAAUGUAACUCAUUUAAAAUAUGUGUUUGCAUAUGAAUCAAUAUUUGAUCUUAAAAAUGUUUUCAAAAUUGUUACUCGUAUAUCAAUUUGAAGGAAAUAUAAUGUUCCAAAAGCUAAUAACGUUGAGGUUUGUUUUCUGCAGCUUUAGAAACGAGAAAUUUUUGAAACAAUCUGGACCUAAUGAAACAUUUUUUAUGGAUAAAUUAAAAUUUUACAGUGUGCUUUCUUUUUGUUAUCUACCUAAAGCCAAUUUCCAACAAGACGGAAAGAAUUUUUCUUUCAAGAUUUAUAAAAUUCACUUUAAAUUUUCUUUUGUAACAAUCUUUUAUCAAAACCCGACAGGUACAAAUGUCACUGACCCGCAAUAGUGACAGGGAUCUCAACGAUUGCCACAGAAUUGUAAUUAGUUGAUAUUAAGUCCUAAUAUGUAUGGUACAAUUCUCAAUACAAUAUGGUAAAUAGUGAAUGAAUCAUUACUAUAUUAGAUGAUUUGUUAAAAUUAAUCUUUAUCAUCGAUUGAAUUAUCAUAGUUCUAAAUUUUAAUUGUUCUUAUUGUCAAUCGAUUAGCUACGAUUUCUUCUCAUCAACAUAAUUGUUUGCACUUAGUUUUCAAUUUAUUAACAGUUUUUAUAAAAUAGUUAUGAUUUGUUUUUAUUUAUUACUGAAUGUCAAAACUCGAGAAAGCAAUUUCAUUAAUUUUCCCUGAAUUGAAAUUUCCUAACAUGGUCAAUGCUCAUUAAUUGAAAUACAACUUCUUCAAUCUGAGAACAUUUUGCACAAUUUUUGUAGUUAUAUUAAGUAAAUAUCUGUUCAUUCCUCCAUUUCAAUUAUAUUUUAAAUAAAGAUUUUAUUGUUAUUAAAUUAAAAAUUAGUGAUAAUUCAUUGUUAAUGGAAUUUCAUUUUGCAAUUAUGAAAUGAGUUACCACAAACUCAAUAUAUUUACUAUAACGGUGAUGUGCGUAUAAUUAUGAUUUAGCGAUAAAAUUUGUUUUUUAUAAGGGUCUUGGCAUUUGCCUCUGAAAUAUUUUAUGCGUUUUCACCGCUAUGUUAUCUAGAUCUCUAAUUGAUAGGAUAUGAAAUGCAUUUGUAAGUUUUUAUAAGAAUCUUGGACUCAAGUAAAUUUACAAAAAUUAAAUUCGAUAAAUGUAUUUGUAUGUUUGGCUAAUUUAAAAGAUGCCAAUAAUCACUGCUGUGAAGGCGGGGGAAAUGCGUCUGUACUUUGUGUCAAAGAAAUGGAGAAAAUGAAAUGUCACCAUGACUAUUUUGUCUUCUUAGAUUAUUUGAAAUUUUAAAAAAAAUAUUUUCAGUGAAUAUUGUUCAGAAUGAUUGCUUACAGGAAAAAUUGUUGUGCAUUGAAAAUAUCUUUUAAAUUUAUGUAUUGAAUUUGAUAUUAAUUAUUGGAACUGUAAUUGUUCCAAAAUUAUGUAAUGCAAUAGUACUUUAUACUCUUUUCAUUAACUUUCACAUUUGAUUAAACAUAAAAUGUAUAGAAUUUUUCUUGAGCCGAAAUUUUAAAAACAUAGCAUCAAUGAUCAUUAAUUGUAAUUUAAUUACAAUAAUUCCAGAAAAAAUUUAACUUGUGUAGCUAUAUUAAAUAAGCCUCUGUUCUUUGUAUCCAUUUGCAGUUAUUUUUUUAAAUCAAGAUUUUA